AACCUCGGAUCAGGCAGGGAUACCCGCUGAACUUAAGCAUAUCAAUAGC
rnacentral:rRNA from 1 species